rnacentral:rRNA from 1 species
GACGAACGCUGGCGGCGUGCUUAACACAUGCAAGUCGAACGAAGUGGCGAACGGGUGAGUAACGCGUAAUCAACCUGCCCUUCAGAGGGGGACAACAGUUGGAAACGACUGCUAAUACAGCAUACUGAAGGAGGGGAUUGAGUCUGAUUAGCUAGUUGGAGGGGUAACGGCCCAACAAGGCGAUGAUCAGUAGCCGUGUUGGUAGGAUGAACGGCGCCAUUGGGACGUAGACACGGCCCAGACUCCUACGGUGGGCAGCAGUGGGGAAUCUUCCGCAAUGGACGAAAGUCUGACGGAGCAACGCCGCGGGAGUGAUGACGGCCUUCGGGUUGUAAAGCUCUGUUAAUCGGGACGCGGUACCGGAAUAGAAAGCCACGGCUAACUACGUGCCAGCAGCCGCGGUAAUAC